GCCGGGGUGGGGGGGCGAACCUGCCGUGCCCUCCCCCACCUGGGUGCCGCGCACCCCCACGCACGCACAGAGACACGCAACUUCAGGCACCGCGGGUGUCCCUAGCGCCGCCAACGCCCCGCGGGGUGCCCUCAGGACACUAACCUUCUAAUGCUAACUAACUUAUCUAAGUUACAUCUCUAACUCUGUCAACUGUGAAAGACUGGAGAAAACAUAACUGAGAUAUAUGAGUGCCAGAAGCUAACCAGCUUGCCUUCCAUAAGGGUGAGCUUCUGUGGAAGCUUCCCCAUUGCUUGCAAAGGAAUAGAUUGCCCCAGUCUUUCUGGCGUUCUCUCACGGAGGAUCACAGUAGAAAGAACCGUCCCACUUGGUAGAUGUGCUGGAUUGGGUAAGGCAGGGCAAGUUUCCUGAAGGCCUGGGUCGCCGGCGUGGAGAGCUGUGCCACCACCUCGCCCCGCUCCGUCGGUCAGCGUGAGGUCCCCGUGCAGGUACGCUGAAGCUGAGAUAAACAAGGGGCUCGCCUACGCGGGAAUACAGGUUUAGUUUUAAGUGAAACUGCCGCUGUGUAGAGGCCGUUGCAGCAGUAUGCCUUCCCUUCCACAAGAGAGCAAAAUAAACCAUAUUGAGUGUGGGUCAAUCUGCAGUGACUGCUCAGAGGCAGCAGAGAGAACAGAUACCCAAGUGACGCCUCAGACCCUACUCUCCAGCUACUGGAAAAUACCCCCUCUCUUUUCCUCUGUGUCUGAAAUCUUUCAACACAGAGGGAGGAUGUCCAGAAGAAGUGCAAUGCUGCAGAGCUUCAUUAAACCAAAUGGAGUUCUUUCCAUUUACAGCAGCCGAGGGGCUCAUCCCUAAUUUCCUUCUGCAGAGGAACGUGCAAAGCAGAUUUCAGAUAUGUAUUAUGAAGUGGUAGACAGGUUGCAGGCUUGAUGUACUGCCUAGAGAUGGUCCCAGACUGUGAAGGAAUGACCAAGAGAGAAAAGGGCAUCUUGUAGUUGAUACCAAAUUUGUUUUUUUCUCCCCUAAACUGAAUUUUGCACUUUUUUUGCAGUGAAUGUAAGCAUCUCAUCCCCAUGACUGUAUUAUUCCUAAAGUGGGUUGCUAAUACAUGAGAAAUGCUGUCAACAAAAAAUGGAGUCACGUAAAAUGGUUGUAAUUAUCUCUAAAAUUAGUACCCCUUUAAAGACUGUAUUUACAUGACCCAUCAACAGAUCAGUUAAGUACUUUCAGUACGUUUUAUUUGUAUUUGGCAGAACAAUUUCCUUGCCUAAGUACACCAAUGAGUGGGAGAGAUUGCAGUUGACAAAGUAAAUUAGAAAGAAAUGUUUCGAGAUUUUUUUUUUCCUAUAUUCUGUGUAGGAUUUGGAAAGAAAAAAAAUAAUCUUCAAUUCCAAGUUCAAAAAGACCUGACUUACCUUACUGACAUUAGCUGUCUUUCUGUUUUAAACCACAAGCCUCUACAGCUGUGAAAGAGCAUGAACUUGAAAAGGAAAACAAUAUAAAGUCCAGUGGGUUCCAAAUUCUCGGUAUAGACAUUCCGCCAGUUUCUGAAAGUUUUAGGGUGGAGUUCUGGCUUUAUUAAAAGCCAUGAUAAAAUUACCGUAGGCAAAAUAAUCAUAGGCAUAGCAACACACUUUUAAUCUUAAAGGGUAGUUGUUUGUUUGUUUUUUUAAUUAAUGAAAGUUGGCACAUUGGGGAAUGUAUGAGAUGUCAUUCCACCAAGAAAAGCAACAAAAAUUAAAAGAGAUUAAUAAAUGAACUUACCAAAGUAAAACUAGAGUUGCAUGAG